rnacentral:rRNA from 1 species
GGCCGCGGGAUUAGAGUUUGAUCCUGGCUCAGAGCGAACGCUGGCGGCGUGCUUAACACAUGCAAGUCGAACGAGGUCUGUAGCAAUACAGAUACUCGUGGCGAACGGGUGCGUAACACGUGGAUAACCUUCCUUCAGGUGGGGAAUAACCCAGUGAAAAUUGGGCUAAUACCGCAUAACAUGACGAUGCCACAUGGUGUUGUCUUCAAAGGCGCAAGUCGCCAGAAGAGGGAUCCGCGGCCGAUUAGCUAGUUGGCGAGGUAAUGGCUCACCAAGGCAAUGAUCGGUAGCCGGACUGAGAGGUUGGCCGGCCACACUGGAACUGAGACACGGUCCAGACUCCUACGGGAGGCAGCAGUGGGGAAUCUUGCACAAUGGACGAAAGUCUGAUGCAGCAACGCCGCGUGGGGGAUGAAGCUUUUCGGAGUGUAAACCCCUUUCGACCCGGAAGAAAGCCCGCAAGGGUUUGACGGUACGGGUAUAAGAAGCCCCGGCUAACUACGUGCCAGCAGCCGCGGUAAAACGUAGGGGGCCAGCGUUGCUCGGAAUUACUGGGCGUAAAGGGUCCGUAGGCGGUGUGGCAAGUUGGUAGUGAAAUCUCUGGGCUUAACCCAGAGGCUGCUGCCAAAACUGCCAUGCUAGAGUGUGAGAGAGGCGAGUGGAAUUACGGGUGUAGCGGUGAAAUGCGUAGAUAUCCGUAGGAACAUCCGAGGCGAAGGCGGCUCGCUGGAUCACAACUGACGCUGAGGGACGAAAGCUAGGGGAGCAAACAGGAUUAGAUACCCUGGUAGUCCUAGCCCUAAACCAUCAGGACUUGGGGUGUGCCCUGUA